rfam:TPA: Bos taurus chromosome 28, whole genome shotgun sequence.
UCCCUGGUGUCUCAGGUGGUAAAGCAUCUGCCUGCAAUGCAGGAGGCCCAGGUUCGAUCCCUGGAUGGGGAA